rnacentral:lncRNA from 1 species
CCCUCUCCUUGUUUGAAGCUACUAAAUUUGUCUGCGUUGAGGUUGAAUCUAGUUUACUUGUUCCUAUAUAUUAUAUAAUGUAUAUAAAUUUCUGUUCUCUGGAAAACUUGCAGGUGCAGCAGCAGCUGAGUUUUCAGUUCAAGCAUUGCCAGAAUUUCUGAAAGCCUUAGGUUCUAUGUGCAGGUGUGCUUCACUCUGGCUGUUAUGCUUGCCACGUUCAAAGUAUUACCCAUAUUCAUAUAUUAAAUAAGUGUAUAUAUGAGUGCAGUCCUGCUGAUGCACUGGUGGAAGCAUUUGUUAGGACAGAUGUUGCAUUUAGAGAUGAACUUGAUUCUCAUCGAAAAUCAAGGAGGGUUAUUCAGAAAGACUGGCAUCCUGGCUGCACUGCAGCUGCUGCUCUAAUUGUUAAGAACAAGCUUUUUGUUGCUAAUGCAGGUGACUGCAGGACAAUUUUAUGUCGAAGAGGGUGCCCUGUAGCUCUAAGUAGGGUAAGCUUGCUUAUUUAUUUGAAUUGUAUCAGUUUUAUAGAACUAUUGUGUGUUAUGAUUCUAAAACUAGUUGACUUUGACAUGUUAGGAUCAUGUUGCAAGCUGUCCUGAGGAGAGAAACCGAGUUGUUAGUGCAGGGGGGGAGGUAAAAUGGCAAGUUGAUACUUGGAGGGUUGGUCGUGCUGCACUUCAGGUAUGCCCCUCUGUAAUUUUUUUUCGAUUUUGACUUAGAAGUUAAUUCCUUGUCACUAGUUUCAUUACCAGACAUCUUUAAUGGUCUGCAAAUUGAUGCUUGAUAUAAUAAAGAGCAGAAAAGUCUUUUUAACAUGGUAAGAAGAGAAUGGAUAAUUCAUAACCACACCUAGUAGUUACACUUGCUGUUUGGAUAUUUCUUUUUCAUAAUAUUUCAUUCCAUUCCAUCUAGAGCUUUUGAAUUCCAUGAAUUUGUCUGUUUAUUGUUGGGUUAUAAUUUCUUGUUUCCUGUAAGUGUUGGAAACUUCACUUUUAACUUGCUUUCCUGGGAGGUAGCUCCUUUUUGGCCAAAAGGAUACAACAUGAAUUUCUAGGCUCAAAGUUCUCAUCUUCUGAAUCUGUACAUGUUUGUUUGGCAACUUAAUAGCAUACUAUUGAAUUUUAUAUUCUUUUUAGAAAAGCAGUCUAUAUUUUUUUUCCUUUUUCUUUUGAAAGGUUAAAAAUUUUCUUUUGGAAAUUGAAGUGACACGUUCUGUUGAGGAAUCCAACACGGGUAAUUAAAAACAGGAUGUGUCAACUGCUUAGUUCAUUAUGGCAGUUUUCUGAAGAAACACUUCAAAGUUGUUUGUAAAAGUGGUUAACAUAUAUUAUAGGCUUUAUCCAAUCUAAUUUUCACAUUAUUAUGUCGUACUAGAUAUUUAGGUUAUCAUAUCCUUGUUUAAUACAUUAUAAAUUCAUUAAAAUUUUAUGAAUCUUGUUUUUGAUAAAUUAACUACUUAUAGGAUAUUGGCAUGGCGUUCCACAACCAUAUUGAUACUUGAUAUGAUAACUCUUUGAGAAAUUAGAAUAUGGAACUGUCAUGAAUUGUUGUGACUGAUCCAGGGAGACCGAAACCUUAGGACUUUAAAGAAAGACCCAGAUCAUUUAGGGUUUUUUUUACAAAACUUCUGCUUCUUUUAUUACUGGAAUCAUCUCUUUAAAUAGAGGUUACAUGGGGUUCAUUCUUUACUUUAUUCUUCAGAACAGGAAACCAAAAUUAGACUUUUAAUGCAAUAAGAUACUUUCUAAAAUAAAUUAUUCUAGUUAAGAAUAUUACUAAAAUAAGCUUAUUUGUCUUCUUUCCAUUUUUCGCGCCUUUGACUUCUUGUCGUGCCCAAAAGCAACCGUAACAUGAUUCCCCCCUUGGAGAAAGAGCCUGUCCUCAAGCUUGAAGUCAGGAUAAACUUGGUGAAAGGUCCCUCAUCUAUUUCAUUCCUUGGAACCAAACGUAGCCUUGAUGAUUGUUCAAAUAAAGUAUAGUAUUAAAUAUAAGUUUUUAACCUAUCCUAAUGUUCUUUUUACAAUCGCUUUUGCGGGCAAUACAAGAAGCCUUUAAAUUUGUUCCAAAGUUUUCGAAUGAUUAGCUGUUGGAGACUACAUGUAUCAGACUUACGGUAAUAACAGAGUAAGCAGUAUCUAGGAGAGUCACAGUAAAACAGUUUAACUUUCCAACCAGUCGUCUAUGCUUAUCAGGGUCUUCAAAAGGUUCACUUCUUUGAUAAGUCGUAGGUUGGGCAUCAUUCAUGCACUACACGGCUUGGCUCCCAAUUUUCCUGUUUCUGUAAGAAAAUCUUUUUCUCUGAGACAAAUAAAUACCUUUCUUUGUGUCACUUCAACGCCCAAUAAAUACUUUAGCUACCCAAAAUCCUUUGUUCGAAACUGGGUAUGAAGAAAAGAUCUCAAAUAAAAAUACCUGCAAAAUCACUUUCAAUACCGACAAUAUCAUCAACAUAAACAUCUAAUGAGGUUAUACCACCUUAGACUAUUUAUAAAACACUAAAUUAUCACAAUUACUCUUCUUAAUCCAAAUUCUAUCUACCAAACCAAGCGUGAAGACUUUAUUUCAAACUAUACAAAGAUUGGUGAAGGCGAUAGACUUUUUUACACUCUCUGAGUAGAGAUGUCCAUGGGCAGGGCUACAGGCAAUUCCAAAAAAAUUUCAAGCCCAGGCCCUGAAUAGCAUGAUUUAAUCUCAAAUAGGAUAAGGAGCUUGAAAGAUGGGGAUUGAAAAUGUGCAGUUGUGGGUGGCAAUUUCUGAUGAAGGUUGGCUGUAAUUGCAAAAUAAAAGGGCUGUUUGUUAGGGUAUUAAGUUAGGUUGGGUGACUAGUGUACAUGUGGUAAUUUGAUGUGGAGUCACCAUUGAAGACACUACAUGAUGUUUAGGUUCCAGUUUGUUGGACUACUGUUUCUAUGCCACAAUCAAAAGUAAAACUAGCACAUCAAGAAUAUUGAAUCCAUCAGCACAUAUAAAUCAACAUGGAAGUGGAACAUCAUGAUUUUCUAUCAAACAACUUAAAUAACUUCUAACUUGACUUGGAAUUUAGAGUUUACUACUGUGGUAUUUCGUGGCUAUACUGUUAAGAGAUAAACUUGCAAUAUCACCAUGUUAACCUUCAUGCAUAGUUAUUAAUGUACCAUAUAUGACAGUUGUGUUCAAACCAGAUUGGUCCAAGUCUAUGUCCAUGUGCUUUUGACUUAAGUUAAAGAAGAAAAGAUGAGCGUGCUGUUAUACUUUUGAAAAGUGCAAUCACUUUGUUAGAUGGCUUUCUACGAUAUGAGUGAUUAGAUAUUGGAAACAGAACUUAGAAUAGAACUCUUUGGAGGACUUUCUAAUCAUAUUUUCAAGGUAUUUGGUAAUGCGUUGUCAAUAAAGCACAGUUUAGUAAAUUUUUGUCUUAAAACAUGCCAAAUACUUCCUCUAAUGAAGUUGUCUUUUCAUAGGUAACUCGCUCCAUUGGUGAUGAUGAUUUGAAGCCUGCUGUAACUGCAGAACCUGAGAUAACAGAAACUGUACUUUCAGUUGAGGAUGAGUUCCUGGUAAUGUUGGUGAAAAUUUGUACAUUGUGGAUGAUUGUUCAUAACUGGACUUGUGAUCUAUAAAAUUGAGUUUUAAGACAAUUAUUUGUAGAUUGUACUUUUAGGGCUUUCUAGCUAUAUCAAUGAAUGCACAUUGUAUGAUAAAGAUUGCUGUUAAUGCCCCCAUGUGGUUCC